UGAAAUGAUUCUACCUCUGGGAUAAG
rnacentral:piRNA from 1 species